rnacentral:rRNA from 1 species
GCCAGACUCCUACGGGAGGCAGCAGUGAGGAAUAUUGGUCAAUGGGCGGAAGCCUGAACCAGCCAAGUCGCGUGAGGGAAGAAGGCCCUGCGGGUCGCAGACCUCUUUGGACGGGGAGCAAGGCCGCCGACGUGUCGGCGGAAGGAGAGUACCCGUAGAACAAGCAUCGGCUAACUACGUGCCAGCAGCCGCGGUAAUACGUAGGGGGCAAGCGUUAUCCGGAUUUACUGGGUGUAAAGGGAGCGUAGACGGCAGAGCAAGUCUGAAGUGAAAGCCCGCGGCCCAACUGCGGGACUGCUUUGGAAACUGCCCGGCUAGAGUGCUGGAGAGGUAAGCGGAAUUCCUAGUGUAGCGGUGAAAUGCGUAGAUAUUAGGAGGAACACCAGUGGCGAAGGCGGCUUUCUGGCUCAUAACUGACGCUGAGGCGCGAAAGCGUGGGGAGCAAACAGGAUUAGAUACCCUGGUAC